AUACAAUGUACAUAUUUCAACAUCUUAUUUCCAAACCCUAACAAGUAGUUUCACUUAGUUCAAUGAACUCAUUACAAUCCAAUACAAUUUGAUUCAAUAAUAUCUUCAUCAUCAUCAUCAUAGUUAUUGUAAAUAAACAUUAAUAUUAUCACUACGGAAAUAUUAUCCAACGGAGGUUUCAGUGGAUGAACAUACGUGACCAUCGCCGCCGCAAAGCCACAAGCAAGAGACAAAAAGCACCUAUAGAUCGAGUGUAUGGAUGCUACGUCUUUCCAACACACCGAUUGACCAUGAACCCACACUUUUGAAACAAAAAUUACACACACAAACGGAAAAUGGAGAAGAAGCAGACCCGAAAAAGAAAAAGAAAACAGAAAAAAUAAGAGAGAAUAAAAUGGAGGAUGUAAUGACAACGAUGAAGAAGAGGAAAGGAGGAGUUUGUUUGAUAGUUUAAUUGUUUGUUUGAUUGAUUGAGAGCGCCGUCGUCGAAGGAUGUUGCGUGACCGGUUGUGGGAUUAGCAAUUCCAUGUGGUGCAACCGUCACUUGAAAGCAGGAGUGGGGGAAAGUUCCGAUCCUAUACGGAAUCAUGAGAUUUAGCGUAGAAAGGAAGAGGAAGCCUACGCGGGUAGCACAAAGGCCUGCGGCGGUGAGGAUGAUGGGUGACGGGAAAACGCGUCCAGCGGAAGCGCUGGUGGCCGAGAUGGGCAAGAUAGUGCAAGAGAUCGAAUCGAAGCGGAAACAGGGAACCGGGGGAAUGGACAAAGGAGGGAUGCGUGCUGGCGUAUGAGCGCGGACUGAAGGAAGGCCAGGGCCUGCACCCUCCGCCGCACGUCCUUCCUUACAAACCCCUCGGAACCCACCCAUACACUUCCCGAUUCAUGGAUGGCACUGUGUCCCAUUCUACUACUGUAACUUCAUCUGUAACCGAUUUCGUUUUCCUACUUCGGAUCCACUAGCCUCGACUUGUCUCGAAAGUCGCGAAUUCGGAGUCAGUUUUUGUUGUUUUUGUUGGUGUUGUUGGUUCCUGCAGGAGUGGUGGAUGUAAGUCGUGACAGAUCAUUGCUGCCGGUGCAGUACCGGGUCUACAAGAGGCCCCACAGUCGGCGAGAGGGUUGCAGGAAGGAGACCCUGGAUCCCGUGCCGGAGGAGAUUCCCAAGAGCAUGGACAGCGUGUCGUUGCGUCUGAAUGUGAAGAGCGCUAGCUGGAACGGCGAGCAGUGGUGUAGCCUUGGAUUCUCGCCUCGCAACGCCGAGGUCGCCAAUGGCUACGCGAUGCUCCGCGACGAGGUCACCAAGUCCCACAAUCGACUCCACCACACCAAGUGAGCCUUGCCUCUUCUCCUGCAACCUUGCAGUUCAAAACACACUCAUGCAAUCUACACACACACACACACACAUGCACUCACAGCUAUGUAUAUAUAUAUAUAUAUAUAUAUAACUAUCUGUUAUGUGAGUGGAUUAAUAUACUCACACAUGCAGAUGUAAAUAUACACAGAUGCACACAUAAAAUGUUAGAUAGAUAGUUCGAUAGAAACACGAACAUGCGCACAGAAACACACACACAAAUUUUAUAUCACAUCUACGAUUUGGUUUGACAGAACAAAGAAUGAAGCUUGGGUGCAGGCAUUGUUUUCACAAAAUCAAUCCCUCUUUAGAGUUUAAUUUGAACAGCUUACUGACUGGGUAGAAUAGAGAUGUUGUAUAACUAGAUGUAGGUCUUCAAUUGAGGAUUGGAAAUCGUGACAUAUUUGAUAAGGUGGGUUUGUGCUCCAUAGCAAUAGCAAUGUUUUAGGGUUUGGGAGAACAGAAUUAGUCGUGUGCCACUUUUUCAGUUGAAAUGUGAUGCUCUGCUUUGAAGGAUGGCAAUGUGACAUAUGGGGUUCAUUAAAAAGUUUUGCAGAAAAUGAAUGUAGAAAAUCAAUUUUAUUUAUUUACAGUUGGAUAGGUUAUGAACAAAUCACAUUAUUUUACUUUAUAUAUAUAUAUAUAUUUAACAAAUUUCUCUCUUACAUUUUAAUAUUUAAAUACAAUAAAAUAAUAUUUCGAAUGAGGAUAUUUUUUCUCAAUGGAUUGUAUUUGGAAAAGCCACGCGCUAAAAGCAUUAGUUACCUUCAACCAAUUGAAGCCACUGAAACCAACUUCCGUCCUUAUAUUCCACCACUUCCUCUUGCCAACAUUGCUCGGUAUCAAAUCGAAGCUCAAAUUGAAGACAAUAAACAUUUACUUAAUUUGUACCGAGAGGAAGCAAAACGAACCUUGUGUUCUUACAGGUUUAAUUACCUGCAACUAUAUGUCAUGUCUAUAUAUAGACUAGAAAAGCAUCUGCAAAGGCAUCAAUGGAAAAUUCUCCCAUGGACAAGAGGAAACAAUAUGGUGGACUCCCUGUAAAGUCUUGCUCAAAGCUUGCCCUAAAAACCUUAGACAAAAUAUUGGACGAUUCCAUGAAAUUUGAGAUUUUACAAGCAAAGUACAAUUUUGAUAUGUUGAAGCAACUUGCUGCUACCAAAUCUACCCAUGCAUACAAGUUUCCAAGGAAUUAUGCAGCAUUGAAGUGUGCACAACACAGGAACUUCAAAAUGCAAAGGACUUCAUUUGUGAACCGGGCAUGGCAUCACGAAGGGCACAAAAGUAUAGAUCAUGCUAUUAAAGUUCCCAUGGUAGAGGUUUUGAUUAGUCUUAUCCACCAUGAUGGGCAGCAUCCAAACAAAUCUGAGAUUUACAUAUUGGACCACAUUAGGUUUGUAGUUCAGAUAUGGAAAUUAUUGAAAAACUAUUUGAAAGAAAAGUAACAAGUUUGCUGUAUUGGUUGGAGUGCAAGAAAACUUGGUGACCCAAGUGAAACAAAAACUUGAGACAAAAAUGUUGUUUCCUAGUAAAGAUUUGGGGAAUUCAACUCCUCUUUACCCAUCACAGCCAUUGGUUUUCAAGCCCUUGAAACAAACUAAUGUAGAAUCUUUGCCCUCUUCAGCUACAUUGACAACUAGGAUUGACAAAGCUUGAAAAUAAAAAUAAAAAUAAAAAUAAAAAAACGUCUAGUUCUUUUGUUGUAAAAUAUUGUACAAUGACACAAUAUUAAAAUUUGAUUGAUUUUUUAAAGUUUCUUGAGACUGAAAAAAACGAUUUGAAGAUAAAACUCAAACAUCAUCAAAUAAAAUAUGAAGAAAAUCUUUUUAUCAGAAUUAUGAUGAUUAUUCUUAAUGUAAUAUAUCUCAGCACAUAAUGUUAUUAAUUGAUUAUUCGGAUUAGGGUUUAGUGCUUGUGAGAUCUUAGGUUUGUGAAGUAUUUUCAAC